rnacentral:rRNA from 1 species
AACGAACGCUGGCGGCAGGCCUAACACAUGCAAGUCGAGCGAAGCCUUCGGGCUUAGCGGCGGACGGGUGAGUAACGCGUGGGAACGUGCCCUUUGGUACGGAAUAGCCCCGGGAAACUGGGAGUAAUACCGUAUGUGGUCGAGAGACGAAAGAUUUAUCGCCAAAGGAUCGGCCCGCGUUGGAUUAGGUAGUUGGUGGGGUAAUGGCCUACCAAGACGACGAUCCAUAGCUGGUUUGAGAGGAUGAUCAGCCACACUGGGACUGAGACACGGCACAGAUUACUACGGUAGGCAGCAGUGGGGUAUCUUAGACAAUGGGGGAAACCCUGAUCUAGCCAUGCCGCGUGAUCGAUGAAGGCCUUAGGGUUGUAAAGAUCUUUCAGUGGGGAAGAUAAUGACUGUACCCACAGAAGAAGCCCCGGCUAACUCCGUGCCAGCCGCCGCGGUAAUAC